rnacentral:lncRNA from 1 species
AUUUUCCCUCCAGAGAUUACUGAGGAAGAAAUUUAUCAAGGAGGUGCCAGUGGAUGGGGCCACCUGCAUGGAGAGAUGGAUCUGCACCAUUCACAGCAAGUUUGCCUUACCAAAUACAGAGUACCCAGACAUCAGCCCAGCCCUGUUUAUUCUGAGAAUUCAAAGAUUUAUUAGGUACACAGUUAAGUGCCAUUUAGCUUUGCAGAACUGUCAUCACCAGCGCCUUAUGAAUGGGAUCUUUCACUGACAAACUUUUUAAACACUAAAAGAGGGGGAAAUUUACUGCUCCAGGUCAAUGAAGAAGCCAAGAUCAACUGAAACUCGGCUGUGUUUCUCCUUGAAUACAGGAAUAUGAUGAAGGUGCUCAGAAUUUUCUUUAAUGUAUUCUCAUCCUUAAUUUAUCCUCACACGUCAAAUGGACUGUUACUCUGUUUUGCAGUGCUACUUUUCCUAAAAUAAUGCUUUUUUCAUUCUGACAGCUUGCAAGAGCCCAGAGAUCUAAAAAUAUAGCUAAAUAGGCAGUCACACUCCUGCUAAUUUAGGCUACGGAUAAGCUGUGGCCAGUUAUGCAGGCAGUGACAACCAAUUCCAGUCAAGGAAGUUUUUUCAAAAAAAAGUGAGGAGAGUUCUGUGGAUCAAAUGCAGUCCUGGAUGUGAGAGCCUGGGAGUAGGUGUCCCCUCAUAAUCUUAAAAAAAAUUCUUACUAUAUUUCUGAUCCAGAUCUGCCACAAGUGCAGAGUGGUGUGUUCUUUCUUCAGAUUCCCAAGAAUUCCUCCUGCCAGGUUGGGCAGGUGUCGGCAAUGGAGAGAGAUGGGGAGACUGACUCGGUGAUCAGAAUCCGAUUUUUUUGUGGGAUACAAGCACUUAUGUACUCUUUCAC